CAGUAGCCGCGGUAAUACAGAGGGUGCGAGCGUUAAUCGGAAUUACUGGGCGUAAAGCGCACGUAGGCGGCUUGGUAAGUUAGAGGUGAAAGCCUGGAGCUCAACUCCAGAAUUGCCUUUAAGACUGCCGAGCUAGCAGGUGAGAGAGGUAAGUGGAAUUCCGAGUGUAGAGGUGAAAUUCGUAGAUAUUCGGAAGAACACCAGUGGCGAAGGCGGCUUACUGGCUCAUACUGGACGCUGAGGUGCGAAAGCGUGGGGAGCAAACAGGAUUAGAUACCCCCGUAGUCCCUGUCUCUUAUAC
rnacentral:rRNA from 1 species